rnacentral:rRNA from 1 species
CAGUAGCCGCGGGAAUACGGAGGGAGCUAGCGUUGUUCGGAAUUACUGGGCGUAAAGCGCACGUAGGCGGCUUUGUAAGUUAGAGGUGAAAGCCUGGAGCUCAACUCCAGAAUUGCCUUUAAGACUGCAUCGCUUGAAUCCGAGAGAGGUGAGUGGAAUUCCGAGUGUAGAGGUGAAAUUCGUAGAUAUUCGGAAGAACACCAGUGGCGAAGGCGGCUCACUGGCUCGGUAUUGACGCUGAGGUGCGAAAGCGUGGGGAGCAAACAGGAUUAGAUACCCCUGUAGUCCCUGUCUCUUAUAC